rnacentral:rRNA from 1 species
UAAUAUUUUGAACCGCAUGGUUCAAAAGUGAAAGACGGUCUUGCUGUCACUUAUAGAUGGAUCCGCGCUGCAUUAGCUAGUUGGUAAGGUAACGGCUUACCAAGGCAACGAUGCAUAGCCGACCUGAGAGGGUGAUCGGCCACACUGGAACUGAGACACGGUCCAGACUCCUACGGGAGGCAGCAGUAGGGAAUCUUCCGCAAUGGGCGAAAGCCUGACGGAGCAACGCCGCGUGAGUGAUGAAGGUCUUCGGAUCGUAAAACUCUGUUAUUAGGGAAGAACAUAUGUGUAAGUAACUGUGCACAUCUUGACGGUACCUAAUCAGAAAGCCACGGCUAACUACGUGCCAGCAGCCGCGGUAAUACGUAGGUGGCAAGCGUUAUCCGGAAUUAUUGGGCGUAAAGCGCGCGUAGGCGGUUUUUUAAGUCUGAUGUGAAAGCCCACGGCUCAACCGUGGAGGGUCAUUGGAAACUGGAAAACUUGAGUGCAGAAGAGGAAAGUGGAAUUCCAUGUGUAGCGGUGAAAUGCGCAGAGAUAUGGAGGAACACCAGUGGCGAAGGCGACUUUCUGGUCUGUAACUGACGCUGAUGUGCGAAAGCGUGGGGAUCAAACAGGAUUAGAUACCCUGGUAGUCCACGCCGUAAACGAUGAGUGCUAAGUGUUAGGGGGUUUCCGCCCCUUAGUGCUGCAGCUAACGCAUUAAGCACUCCGCCUGGGGAGUACGACCGCAAGGUUGAAACUCAAAGGAAUUGACGGGGACCCGCACAAGCGGUGGAGCAUGUGGUUUAAUUCGAAGCAACGCGAAGAACCUUACCAAAUCUUGACAUCCUUUGACAACUCUAGAGAUAGAGCCUUCCCCUUCGGGGGACAAAGUGACAGGUGGUGCAUGGUUGUCGUCAGCUCGUGUCGUGAGAUGUUGGGUUAAGUCCCGCAACGAGCGCAACCCUUAAGCUUAGUUGCCAUCAUUAAGUUGGGCACUCUAAGUUGACUGCCGGUGACAAACCGGAGGAAGGUGGGGAUGACGUCAAAUCAUCAUGCCCCUUAUGAUUUGGGCUACACACGUGCUACAAUGGACAAUACAAAGGGCAGCGAAACCGCGAGGUCAAGCAAAUCCCAUAAAGUUGUUCUCAGUUCGGAUUGUAGUCUGCAACUCGACUACAUGAAGCUGGAAUCGCUAGUAAUCGUAGAUCAGCAUGCUACGGUGAAUACGUUCCCGGGUCUUGUACACACCGCCCGUCACACCACGAGAGUUUGUAACACCCGAAGCCGGUGGAGUAACCUUUUAGGAGCUAGCCGUCGAAGGUGGGACAAAUGAUUGGGGUGAAGUCGUAACAAGGUAGCCGUAUCGGAAGGUGCGGCUGGAUCACCUCCUUU